ensembl:lncRNA
UUCUGACUUGUGUCCUUGUACUUAACCAGUCUCCUUGAUUUUUCUUCCACUUUUGAUGAUGUUGGUUUGGGAAAAUGCAUUCAUUCAUCUGACACCUAAAUUUAGGGACCUGUUUUCUAGAAAGAGCUCCAAAGUGGUGAAAACCCAAGUAAAUACGUUAUUUUUGGCAUGUUAGAUACUGACUCCGUUUUUAGAAAUUGCUCUUGGUGCACAUUACGGUAUAAUCCUUGAGUGGGGUUUUGAUAAAUUUGAUUCAUUACCUAGUAGCAGUACCAGCAAGGGUUUACAAGAGAGAAGUUGUAACUAUGUUAAUUCCUUUGCCUAGUGGAAUGUUUGAAUCAUUGUAUAUUUUGGCUUGUAAUUUUUUAAAACCACUUGGCACUGGGUAUUUUUUGGAUUGAAUUGGGAAGUUGGAAUUUAAUUAUUGAACGUCAGUCUCAGCAGCCCUUUUUGUUUUUUAUUUUCACAACAGCUAAAUUUAUAAUCAGUGAAUUUGAAUAGUGUUGAACACUUGAAUCAGUGUUUUGAAUAGUGUUGUAUAAAAUGAGAGAAGUUCAGUCACUGAUACUUUUAUGUUAGGGCAACUUUGAAAGCUCUUUGGGGUUGUGAAAUAAAAGGUACUCUAGAAUUGCACUGGGCCCAGUACUAGGCUACUUGGUAAAUGCUUCUUUGUUGAAUGAAUGGUCCAACUGAUUUUAUUUAUGCAGUUUCAGGAGUGGUUUGCACUUGUUGGUGCAGGAGACGGUGCAGGAGAUGUAAGAGACACAGGUUUGAUCUCUGGAUUGGGAAGAUCUCCUGGAGGAGGGCACGGCAACCCACUCUAGUGUUCUUGCCUAGAAAAUCCCUUGGACAGGGAGCCUGGUGGGCUACGGUCUAUGGGGUCGGAGCGACCAGCACGCACACAGGCACCAUCAUGUUACUGACAGUGCGGUCAGGGGGAGAAGUAUGGGUGAGGAGUAAGAUGCGAUGGGAGAGAGAUUUCAGCAGAUUUUAUUAAUGAACCCGAAAUGGGAAAGGGAGAGGUGUGUGAAGGCUGCUUUCCAAGAUUCUGGUUGGGAGAAAGGUUAGUGCCAUGGCUAGAAAUGGGGUUGUUAGCAGACUGGCUGUGGGGGAAGAGUUACACAUUUACUUUCUGACGUAAUUAAAUGUAAGUUUUUUGUAAGAUGUUUAAGUUGAAAGGAAGAAGCAAGAAGUAGGAAUGAAGAGAUAAGAAGGUGUGUUACUCAUCCUUGUGGAGUAUGGCUUACAGGCAUAGGGAAGGGUGACUUCUCUCUCUGAAAGUUCAAAGACAGAGCCAAGAACUGGCAUUCAUGGAUGGCUUCUUAAAGAUAAAUCUGAAGAGAUUCUGGUGUUUAUGUCGGUUGAAAUUACUUUGAAAGUGAUCCCUGCCCUUGGUGAUAAAAGACAUGUAGUGAUAUUUCAGGAAAUUAGAAAGUUUGAAAAGGUAUCAAGUUUUCAGUUACCUUUGAAAAAAUAUCAAAGGAAAAACAGAUAAUUACUGGUGACUUUCUGGUCUUUUUCUUGUGCAUCUAGAAGAAUAGGAAAUUUAUACAUAUAUGUGAGUAUACAUGUGAUACACAUAUGUACGUGUGAUCAUACACCACAUAUGCUUUCAUAGCCUGCUUUUUUUGUUUAAUGUUGCACCGUAACCAUUUUUCCACAUUGAAUUACUGCUUAAAAGUACUAUUCUUUAAAAACUAUAUUUUCCCUGUCAUUUAGAUUUAUAUUUAAUCAACAGCUUUAUUGUUGAACACUUAGAUUGCUUUGAAAUUUUUUUACUCUGUUAAUAAUACUAUAGUAAACUUUGAUAAAAUAUAUAUUCUUCAGCUGUUACUUAAAUAUGAGCUCUCUGAAAGCAAAGACCUCCAUAUCUGUAGGACUCGGAAGAAUGCCUAGACAUAGGACUUGCUUAAUUAAAGAAAAAAACAGUUAUUGCCAGGAUGGAAGAAGACCAUUAAAUUCUCAGUUCCUCUUACUUCCUUAAUUCUGAUUCCAUGCAUACUUCGGAAUCUUAUUGUGAUUUGGCUGUCAGUAGGAAUCUGGUUGUAAUGAAAUGACUGGCCAUGUAUGUCCACAUGACAGGUGUUCUUCCUUCUGUCACUGUCAUAUUUGUCAUUCUUAACCAUUUUUGAGGGGUACACAAUACAGCAUGUGGGAUCUUAGUUCCCCGACAGAGAUUGUGCCCCCUGCUCUGGAUGUGUUUUCUUUUGAAGACCAUUAUCACCUUAUUUUCCUAUGGUAAUAAAAGCACAUUUUGAAGAACUGGCUGACCCAGUUCACAGAUUCAUUUUACUUCGGGAAAACUUUAGUAGAAAACUAGAAACUUUCUAAUUGUAUUAGGGGAAGCCUAGUGUAAAAACCUUUUAACUAAGAGGUAUGAUUUGAAACAUAUUUUUGUACUGGAGGCUUCUAUUGAACUCUACCUAAACCAAAUAAGACCUGCUAAAAGCUGUAGAAAUAGAUUUAUUUUUUAUAUUCCAUCCAGAUCUUUUCUGUUGCACCUUAUGCUUAUGUUAUGUAUUGCCCCCAAGGGAAUCACAUAAAGCUGUCACCAUGUUCAUGUAACACUUGAAAUGACUGUUCCCUUAGUUACUAAAGGGUUGUAUUUGGUUAUGGGUUUUGAUCCCAACUGCCCAGGGUUUGGCUUGGCCAGAUCAGCUACUGAAGACUUAGAUAUCUGAAUACCUUUCACCAGC